GCCUUGAUGGACUAGGAACACAUUCACACUGACUGACACAUUUACUGACCCAAAGCCUAUAUGAUGUACUUUUGUGUUUCAUAGCUCUGGUUUUACAGCAGAAGUCUGUUGUUUCAAUAAAAACAACUACUGCUGAUAACCUGGAGAUGAUGGAGCAGAGAUCCUACAAUCCUGAUGUUUUCAGCAGGGAAAGCACCGAGGUGGAACGCAGACCGCUCACAAUUUGACAGAUCCAUGCCCAGAGGCAAACCUCGGCCAAACUCCAACAAGCUCACAUCAAGGCAAACAAAGUCCACAGGAUGUUCUGGUAAAAUGCAACAAAAAGAGAAAGCCAAAGUAGAAGAGAGACAGUGUUUCAURUGAAUACAGAUUACCAAGGAGAGGGCACUGCCUAAAGCAGAGACACCAAGCUGAUGCUGACCGUCCAGUCUCUAUGGAGCUGGAUUUAGCUCCUGAAGGUGUGCCCAACCCGUCGCUCGCGGGCGACUCGGUACCCAUGAGCUGAUUCCCAGGUGCCCGCGAAGCGCAACCUUGCGAGCCGGCUUGUCAGCCGUUAGCAAGGUGACGUGUCCACUCGCUAAGCUUCAUUUUAACUCCGGCAGAAGCGGUGGAGGUGGGGGGAGUAGCAUCA